GUAACACCGUAGCCAUUAGACCGUUUGGCGAUCCCUAACCUCAGACACGUGGUUGGAUGCGGUGUGCGAGCCUGUAUGACGCUUUUCUUGAUGUUUGUAAAGGGAUGAAAGGAAGACUGAGAAUGAGAGAGAUCGAAUGAGAGAAUGAGAAUACGAGAGAAUGAGGGAGAUAAUGGUAAUGUAAGUAAGGUUCUGGUAUUAUAAGAGGAGACUAAGACGAGUUGCUAAGAGUGUGUUAGAUUUUCAGAGUAAAUAGGGGUAAUGUUAAAUGGGGUUCUGGUAGCAUAAGAGAAAGAUAGAUUAAACUCGCAGCAAGGAGUGUUAGAUUUUCAGACUCUACUCUAUGUUAAGUAGGGUUCUGGUAGCAUAAGAGAAAGAAAUGUUAGACCUGUAGCAAGGAGUGUUAGAUUUUCAGAGUAGAGGUUAUGUUAAAUAGGGUUCUGGUAGCAUAAGAGAAAGAAAUGUUAGACCCGUAGCAAGGAGUGUUAGAUUUUCAGAGUAGAGGUCAUGUUAAAUAGGGUUCUGGUAGCAUAAGAGAAGACUCGUAGCAAUGAAUGUGUUAAGUGUUCAGAGUAAAGAAAGAUAGAGUAAAUAGAGUUAAGAGUUGAGUAAUUGAAAAAGUACUGGUUUACUAAUAGAAGAGAAGUGGAAAAUCUAAAUAAUGUAUGAUUCAGCGUUUCUCAUCUCACCAUAACUUACGAAAUAUUGUCAGCUCACUCACAUAUCCUAACCUCCCUCACUCCCUUCCCUCCCAAGAUGAAUGUGUGACCAUUGUUUCUCGUAUCGCCAUAACUUAGAAACAUUAUCAUCUCACUCAGAUAUCCUAACCUCCCUCACUCCCUUCCCUCCCAAGAUGAAUGUGUGACCAUGUUUCUCGUAUCACCAUAACUUAGAAACAUUAUCAUCUCACUCAGAUAUCCUAACCUCCCUCCAUCCCUCUCUCCCA